UACAGAGGGUGCAAGCGUUGUUCGGAAUUACUGGGCGUAAAGCGCGUGUAGGCGGCGUCGUUAGUCGGAUGUGAAAGCCCUCGGCUCAACCGAGGAAGUGCAUCCGAUACUGCGAUGCUUGAGUGUUGGAGGGGGUGGCGGAAUUCCCGGUGUAGAGGUGAAAUUCGUAGAUAUCGGGAGGAACACCUGUGGCGAAAGCGGCUUCCUGGUCCAGCACCGACGUUCAGGCACGAAAGCGUGGGGAGCAAACAGG
rnacentral:rRNA from 1 species